ensembl:lncRNA
UAGCGCACUCGGCGCUUGCUUGGAAGUUCAGGGGUUUUUUUUCGCUGUAAAAAGAAGUUUUCUUCCCACGCACAACGGACGCUAAUGUUUUUGUCACUUUUUAUGGAAUCAAACUCAAAAUAAGGUUCUAUUUAGUCAUUUCUUGAUCCAACAGGUCUGGCAGAUAUCAGGCAUGGGUGUGGCAAGGGAAACUGAACUGUUUUCCAAAAAUAGCCAGCCUGGGGACCAGAUUGGACCUUUUGGCAGGCCAGAACUGCUGUGAAGUCACCAUACACUACCUGCAAACUGUUUCAUCGACGAACAGUGUCUUUCAGUUCUUGAUGUAAAAAAAGACCAAGUCAGAAAGAUGAGAAAGUGAAAAAACUAUUGCCUUGAUUUCAUUGUGAUAAUGUUUCUCAGCUUUUUUAGCACACAAGUUUCUGUUUGCUCCAUAAACCAACUCUUAUUCUAUUUCACUUUUUUUUAAAGGACUUUAAGAGAAGACAAACAAAGGGAAAUUGUGUUUGAACGUUUGUUAAAAAUAUUAAUCAUCAACUUCAAAAUAAUCUCAUAUGUGGAUGUCAGUGUUUGUUACAAGCAUUUAACUCUUAAACACAAUUGCCCCACUCAAGUAUUGAGAGUGGGGCAGUCAGGAAAUGUUUUACAAAAGAUAUAUGUAACGCUUAUCGACCAUUCUGCGGGGUCUUUGCUGUUACCAGCUGUAUCAACUAAAUAA